GAGUUUGAUCCUGGCUCAGGACGAACGCUGGCGGCGUGCUUAACACAUGCAAGUCGAGCGGUAAGGCCCUUUCGGGGGUACACGAGCGGCGAACGGGUGAGUAACACGUGAGCAAUCUGCCCUUCACUUCGGGAUAACCCUCGGAAACGAGAGCUAAUACCGAAUAUGACCACUGGACGCAUGUCCUGGUGGUGGAAAGUUCCGGCGGUGGAGGAUGAGCUCGCGGCCUAUCAGCUUGUUGGUGAGGUAAUGGCUCACCAAGGCUUCGACGGGUAGCCGGCCUGAGAGGGUGACCGGCCACACUGGGACUGAGACACGGCCCAGACUCCUACGGGAGGCAGCAGUGGGGAAUAUUGGACAAUGGGCGAAAGCCUGAUCCAGCAACGCCGCGUGAGGGAUGACGGCCUUUGGGUUGUAAACCUCUUUCAGCAGGGACGAAGCGCAAGUGACGGUACCUGCAGAAGAAGCACCGGCCAACUACGUGCCAGCAGCCGCGGUAAUACGUAGGGUGCGAGCGUUGUCCGGAAUUAUUGGGCGUAAAGGGCUCGUAGGCGGUUUGUCACGUCGGGAGUGAAAACUCGGGGCUCAACCCCGAGCCUGCUUCCGAUACGGGCUGACUAGAGGUAUGCAGGGGAGAACGGAAUUCCUGGUGUAGCGGUGAAAUGCGCAGAUAUCAGGAGGAACACCGGUGGCGAAGGCGGUUCUCUGGGCAUUACCUGACGCUGAGGUGCGAAAGUGUGGGGAGCGAACAGGAUUAGAUACCCUGGUAGUCCACACCGUAAACGUUGGGCGCUAGGUGUGGGGCUCAUUCCACGAGUUCCGUGCCGCAGCUAACGCAUUAAGCGCCCCGCCUGGGGAGUACGGCCGCAAGGCUAAAACUCAAGGAAUUGACGGGGGCCCGCACAAGCGGCGGAGCAUGCGGAUUAAUUCGAUGCAACGCGAAGAACCUUACCUAGGUCCGACAUAUCCAAUAAUUCUGGAGAGAUAGAGGUCUCUUUGGUACACUCGUAUACAGGGGGUGCAUGGCGGCCGUCAGCUCGUGUGCAGAGACCGUGGGUUAAGUUUCGCAACGAGCGCAAGAGUUGUACAAUGCAAACACCGUCAUACGUCGGGGGGUCAUAAGGGAUCAGCGGGUUCAACUUGGUGCAAUGUUGGGCUGAGGUCAAGUCAUCAGGAGUCUUAUCCGUAUGUCAUCACCCGUGUGACAAGUCCCGGUACCAAGGGGUGUGAUCGUGCAAGCCGGAGUGAAUCCCAAAAUCCCCAUCUCAGUUAUGAUUGGGGUGUUCAUCUUGCCCCCACGAAGUUGGACUCCCUCGUAACAGCAGAUCAGCAGUCAUGCUGGGAAUUAGUUCUCGGGCCCGAGGCUCAUCCCGAAGCACGUCGCAGAAGUUCCAGCACCCGAAGCCAGUGGCCCAACCGUUUCCGGAGGGAGCUCCGAAGGUGGGGCUGGAUCACCUCCUUUCU
rnacentral:rRNA from 1 species